GUUCGACUCUGAUGACAUACCUGAUCUAGAAGGUCGUUGCGGUUAUCACAAUCUGAGUGCCACCAAAGUAAUCCCAAGAUAGUUGCUGUAGCGAGGACUUGGGUGAUUCUCAGCCAGCUAAGGUCUAUCAAGAACUCGGCUGGAUUCAUGGAAAGUAGAGGAUUGCAUCCUAUUGAUGAAAAAUAAGGCAUUGCUUCCGACGCUUUUCCAAAAUAGAGCAAACUCCCCUUCCCAAGGAGGAUCAACUUGUCAAAUUUGUGGAAGAGUCUACUUGAUGGCUGGUGGAUGGUCGUCACCACCGUUUUCCCUGCCUGCCAUAAGAACAGAUCAAAAAAAGCAAGGGAUUUAGGAGAACCUGCAUGGCAAGCUCUGCCUUACCUUCAGAUGAAUAAAGAUGGUGGAAGUUCCAGCUCAGUUUGAUUUAAAUAUAUUCCCAGUUCAAUAACUUCUAUCACUCAGAAAAAGUCUAAAAAACUAUACAAAGGUAAGAAAGCUGACUUGGUUAUCUUACAUUUGAAGUUGACUUGAUUGACUCUUUGUAGAAAAGUCUAGUCACAUUUUUUUGACCGUUACUGAUGUCUGUGAGUCAUGAAUGUUGCCACAUUGUGGAGGCCAUCACUCUCUCUGGAUACAAAUAUGCUAAGACGUGUUGUUUUUGUUACUGGUUGUGUUAGUCAAUUUAUCAGAAAGAGUCGCAUUUGGGAGUCA